GAUGAACGCUAGCGGCAGGCUUAACACAUGCAAGUCGAGGGGUAGAGGAAGCUUGCUUCCUUGAGACCGGCGCACGGGUGCGUAACGCGUAUGCAACCUACCUUUUACAGAGGGAUAGCCCAGAGAAAUUUGGAUUAAUACCUCAUGGUAUAUAUCAUUCGCAUGUUUGAUAUAUUAAAGUUCCAACGGUAAAAGAUGGGCAUGCGUCCUAUUAGCUAGAUGGUAAGUAACGGCUUACCAUGGCAACGAUAGGUAGGGGUCCUGAGAGGGAGAUUCCCCCACACUGGUACUGAGACACGGACCAGUACUCCUACGGGAGGCAGCAGUUGAGGAAUAUUGGACAAUGGGCGCAAGCCUGAUCCAGCCAUUGCCGCGUAGCA
rnacentral:rRNA from 1 species